rnacentral:rRNA from 1 species
AUUGAACGCUGGCGGCAGGCCUAACACAUGCAAGUCGAACGAGUGGCGGACGGGUGAGUCAUGUCUGGGAAACUGCCUGAUGGAGGGGGAUAACUACUGGAAACGGUAGCUAAUACCGCAUACCAUCGGAUGUGCCCAGAUGGGAUUAGCUAGUAGGUGGGGUAACGGCUCACCUAGGCGAAGAUCCCUAGCUGGUCUGAGAGGAUGAACGGCCACACUGGAACGGAGACACGGUCCAGACUCCUACGGGAGGCAGCAGUGGGGAAUAUUGCACAAUGGGCGCAAGCCUGAUGCAGCCAUGCCGCGUGUGUGAAGAAGGCCUUCGGGUUGUAAAGUACUUUCAGCGGGGAGGCGUUACCCGCAGAAGAAGCACCGGCUAACUCCGUGCCAGCAGCCGCGGUAAUUC